GUGGGGAAUUUUGGACAAUGGGCGAAAGCCUGAUCCAGCCAUGCCGCGUGCAGGAUGAAGGCCUUCGGGUUGUAAACUGCUUUUGUACGGAACGAAAAGACUCCUUCUAAUAAAGGGGGUCCAUGACGGUACCGUAAGAAUAAGCACCGGCUAACUACGUGCCAGCAGCCGCGGUAAUACGUAGGGUGCAAGCGUUAAUCGGAAUUACUGGGCGUAAAGCGUGCGCAGGCGGUUAUAUAAGACAGAUGUGAAAUCCCCGGGCUCAACCUGGGAACUGCAAUUGUGACUGUAUAGCUAGAGUACGGUAGAGGGGGAUGGAAUUCCGCGUGUAGCAGUGAAAUGCGUAGAUAUGCGGAGGAACACCGAUGGCGAAGGCAAUCCCCUGGACCUGUACUGACGCUCAUGCACGAAAGCGUGGGGAGCAAACAGGAUUAGAAACCCGUGUAGUCC
rnacentral:rRNA from 1 species